rnacentral:sRNA from 1 species
AGGUCCUGCAAGUCCAAAGAAUGUGCGUUGUUUUAAACUGUGGAUUACUACCCUUUCGAUAGAAGGAUAUAACAAAAAAGGAUGGCCUGAUCUCGCUGGAUGAAGAAUUCUUUGCUUGUACUCUGGAAUACACAGCGUAGAAUCCAAGCUAAAAAAAAAAGAGUCAACUAAUAUCCAUGUUUUAAUGGCUACAAGUUUAUAGUGAUAUACUUUAAAGCCUAUUGGUACAAAAAGCGGGUACGUAUUUUUUUUAUAUUUACAUUAGCUAUGUAGUAAUGAUUUUUUUUCAAACAAUCGGAUAUUCGACCAAAUAUUAAGUCCAAAAUGUCACUACAUGAACAACCAGGACAAGCCGGCCAACAUGGGUUAAGUUAGAGUGCUAAUUUAUCCUGCAGUUGAAGGAGGAUUCUAACGCUGUGCAUUGUACUUUGAACUAUUUUGAUUUUCUUUCUUUAAUUUUAAUUUUAACUUAUGAAUAAAACAAAUCAUGAACUCAUCCAUGAACAGAAUGAAGAAGAAUGAAUGAACUGAAAAAGGAAACAUACGCUCAAUAGGUAGCAGUCUUUUCGCACCUCACAGUUUGGUCUCUGCUGGGCGAGUUCUACAGUUUUAGAGUCACCAAGAGGCAAUAAAGUUGUGACUAUUCAAACAAAUAAAUACAAAAGAAGGAGAACAGAAAAGGGCAAAUCAAUACUGAUUUCAUGGAAAUGGACUCCCCUUCAAAGCAGAGCCAUUUAACCGUCACACCUUUAUGUCAUCACAAUAGGUACCCACGUUGACAGAA